GUAUUUCCCUCAGCACAUAUUUGCUGAGAAUACCAUGUCCCAGGCCCUUGUUAAGUGCUGGGAAGAUGUAGAUUAAAAGCACUUUACAAGGCAGUGAAGAAAUGUGCAGGAUAAGGCAAAAGGUUUGCUGAGCACAUCUGAAGGAAAAGAGCGAGCAAAGCGAUGGAGAUUUCCAUGCAAAGAAAACAGGAAGUGCAAAGGCCCUGAGGAGGGGCCACACCUGGCUUUGUUGGCUAAAAACUUAGAGAAGCAAGCACCUCAGUGAUAGGAGAGUGGUACAAAAUGAAGUCAAACAGAAAAUAGAUGGAAAAUAUCAUGCCAGGCUUUUUAUGUCAAUAAAGGAGCGAGAUUUUACUCAAAAGAACUUGCUCUUAGACCUUACUGCAAUCAAUGCUAUGGAACCUUUUCUGACUCUCCUACUCCAUCAUGAUAUUCACCAGUCUACCCUCUAUCCGCAGCUAACCAUUUCAAGACUUUCAUAUGAAUGGGAUCAUACAGUAUAUGAUUUUUGUGACUGGCUUCUUUCACUCAGCAGAAUGUCUUCGAGUUUCAUCCAUGUUGUAGCAGGUAUUAGUACUUCGUUCCUUUUUCCUCCCUCCUCCCUCCCUCCCUC